GAUGAACGCUGGCGGCGUGCCUAAUACAUGCAAGUCGAGCGAACGGACGAGAAGCUUGCUUUUCUGAUGUUAGCGGCGGACGGGUGAGUAACACGUGGAUAACCUACCUAUAAGACUGGGAUAACUUCGGGAAACCGGAGCUAAUACCGGAUAAUAUUUUGAACCGCAUGGUUCAAAAGUGAAAGACGGUCUUGCUGUCACUUAUAGAUGGAUCCGCGCUGCAUUAGCUAGUUGGUAAGGUAACGGCUUACCAAGGCAACGAUGCAUAGCCGACCUGAGAGGGGGAGCGGCCACACUGGAACUGAGACACGGUCCAGACUCCUACGGGAGGCAGCAGUAGGGAAUCUUCCGCAAUGGGCGAAAGCCUGACGGAGCAACGCCGCGUGAGUGAUGAAGGUCUUCGGAUCGUAAAACUCUGUUAUUAGGGAAGAACAUAUGUGUAAGUAACUGUGCACAUCUUGACGGUACCUAAUCGGAAAGCCACGGCUAACUACGUG
rnacentral:rRNA from 1 species